rnacentral:rRNA from 1 species
GACGAACCGAGCGAACGUUGUUCGGAAUCACUGGGCUUAAAGGGCGCGUAGGCGGGUGCUCAAGUCCGGGGUGAAAUCCUCCAGCUCAACUGGAGAACUGCCUCGGAUACUGGGUGCCUCGAGGGUAGUAGGGGUAUGCGGAACUAUCGGUGGAGCGGUGAAAUGCGUUGAUAUCGAUAGGAACUCCGGUGGCGAAGGCGGCAUACUGGACCACAUCUGACGCUGAGGAGCGAAAGCCAGGGGAGCAAACGGG